UACAGAGGUCUCAAGCGUUGUUCGGAUUCAUUGGGCGUAAAGGGUGCGUAGGCGGCGCGGUAAGUCGGGUGUGAAAUCUCGGGGCUUAACUCCGAAACUGCAUUCGAUACUGCCGUGCUUGAGGACUGGAGAGGAGACUGGAAUUUACGGUGUAGCGGUGAAAUGCGCGAUAUCAGGAAGAACACCUAUGGCGAAGGCAGCUCUCUGGGACGGUACUGACGCUGAGAGCGAAAGCGUGGGGAGCGAACAGG
rnacentral:rRNA from 1 species